UUUUUUUUUUUUUUUUUUUUUUAAUUAACUAAUUAAUUUUAAAAAGAUGUCCUAACCUUGCAAUGCAUACUGUAGAAUUCCUUCCAUCUUCAUAGUCUCCAAAAUCUUUGUCCAUUGAAUAAAAUCUAGACUAUCUUGAGAAUGGUUCCGCUUUUAGGAGGAACAAAAAUCCAGGAGCCCAGCUGAGUUUCCUUCAGGACUUCCUAGUUGACAAGGACGCGAGACACAGACAGGUGAAUUUCACUUGUUAUCCACUGCAGCCCUGGUGGACAGCUCUUAGUCCUCUUAUAUUUUGAUUUUCUUUAAUAAACUCUACCAUCUACAUUAAGAUAGGGUAGACAGCACACACCCCGCUUAUCUCACUAGCAUUUUCUACUAGUUAUUAUUGUUCGUUUGUCUUGGUAAGGGACACAUCAUUAUUUAAAUGUGUGCUUUGUUCUGGCUCCUUGGUGUCACGUGAUGCCCUGGUUUGGUUCUUGGAUCCCAUCAGCGGUGCUGUGUGCUUUGCUUGCUCUGUGUUCUGUGCUGGUUUGGAGUGCAGUCAUCUCUCUUCUUUGAUAGUUUGCCCAGAGUUCUGUUGGGCAUAUGUAGUUUGUCCUUCCACUGGGAUUAGUGGGGUCCUCUCUGACGGUUAGAGUAAGGCAGCAGGCUCUGAGGGCAGACUCAGAGGCCAAGUGCUGCUUCCUUCACGUCCCUUCAAGAGCAAGGUAUGAACUCGAUGGGCUACCCCAGUCACCUUCCAAAAGCCAGACUGACAGGUUUUUCCAUUUGAACUUUAAAAACAAACAAACAAACAAACAAACCAAAACCCACAAACAGUUGUCCUUCCCUUACCCGCUGCUUUCUGAGGAAUUCUCUGAGCAGCUCCACCCUUAGUGACUGGGUGGUGCCCUAGUGCCUCUCCUCCUUAAGGUGUGAAGUAGCAGGCUAGCUUAUUUGGAAUUCUUCUCAUGGGACGUUUGUCUCCCCCCCCCCCCCCCCGUUCAUCUAUUUAUUAAGUUGGUGGGGUAGUACACACCCAUAAUUUAGCAUGGGAGGGUCAGAAGUUCAGGGUCAUCCUCCGCUAUGCUGUGGGUCAAAGGUCAGCCUAGGUGGUGCAGACCGACCCUGUCUCCCUGAUACAUUAUGCCUCCGUGGACUUAUGGAUGGUUAUUCUGUACUUUGGUGGUAAUAUACUAUUUCUCUUUGAUCAGAUUUGGCCACUAGGAACUAACUCUAUGUUCCAUAUAUAGUUAUCUGUCCCAUUGGUGGCAUGUCUGUCAUUAAGAUUUUGUUUUUUAAAGCACCACAUUAUUUUAUGACUAUAGGAAAUGCCUUCUGUGCCCUUUUAACAUUUUUUUCUUAAUGAGAGUAGUGUGACCCAAAGGCUAAAGUUUGGGUUUUAACUUCAUAAUCCGUAGUUUCCCAACUUGAAGGAAUAAGUUAUCUCUUAUCUCUUACAUCAUGAGCUUGAUAGCUUUAUCAACUUGAUACAAGCUAAAGUUAUCUGAGAGGAGGGACCCUCAAUUAAAAUGCCUCCAUAAGAUUGGACUCUUGAAUGCUCUUAACUCCCUCCUAUUGCCCCUCCCUCAAAUGGACUGCAGGCAAGACUGUAGGAUAUUUUCUUAAUUGAUGGGGGAGGGUCCCGCCCAGGUGGAUGGUAUACCUGGGCAGGUGGUUCUGGGUUCUAAAAGAAAGCAAUUCAGUAAGCCACGGAGAGCGAGUCAGUGAGCAGCACUUCUCCAUGGCCUCUUGCAUCAGCUCCUACCUCCAGGCUCCUAGCCCUGUUUUGGUUCCUGUCUUGACAUCCUUUGAUGAUGAACAGUGAUGUGGAAGUGUAAGCCAAAUAAACUCUUCCCCAGUUUGCUUUUGUUGGUCAUGGUAUUUCAUCACAGAAAUGAUAACCCUAACUGAGAGAUAUAUGACUAUACCCGAAGUAUUUAGGUAACAGAGUUGUUAAUAGCUUUAUAUGUAGAUGUUGAUUAUUAACUUAUGCUUAGCGUUUGGACAUUGAAUCAUAUCUUCGGACUUCUGUUUCCAGAUCCUCCUAUGGCCUUUGUGCACACACGCUUAAUGGAUAAACGAGUGUUUGGAGGAUUGAGGUGACCGCUGUGAACUGUUAGGGAGCUUUAGUAGGGACACGUGUCUAUUUUCUUUGAUCUGAUGCAUUUAAAUUAAUGGUCUCUCCUAAAAGCCACAAAGAACUAUGAAGGGCUGUAGUGGAAUGCAUAUCGACUUCUUCAAUAAAAUCUGUUGUCUGUCUAAUUAAAUGUACAUUGAUAGACAAGAGUUUUCUUCCCUAAACAUUUUGUUUUCGGAUUACCAUGAAUCAUAUAACACUGGCUUACAUUAUGUCAGCUAACUGAGAACCCAGUAUAGGAAGAGAAUCCCAAGCCAAAUACAAAUAGAGAAUAGCCAGAAAAAAAGCUCCUUUAUAAAUUAUGGAGAAUGUUUAAGAAAAAAAAAAUGGCACGAUGGCCAAAUUGUUAGAUCGCCAGUGGGGUCAGUGAUGAACUGGAUACUCAUUUGAGACUUUAUAGAGUUGAGAUUCAGGUAAGAGGUUUGGAAGAACUACCUUUCCACAUGACUUGUUGGCACAGACUUUUGUAACCAGAUCCUAUGUGGAAAUGAGAUGGCGACGUUAAACACUGCCAAGGCAGCCUUACACCCGGGAAGACGGCUGUUCUAUAGCAGGUGUAGAAAUGGAACGAGUGCUUUUAUUGUUAAUUUUUUUUUUUUAUUUUGUUGGGGAGAAAGUCUAUGUGCCUGGCAGUGGAUACCAAGGCCUAUGUAAAUUACGGGUGCUCUCUUUGUAUCGGAAGCCUUUUUAACCACACCAUGUAUGGUUAUGGACUCUGGUGUUACAGGAAUCAGUAUCUUCAUCGUUUUUCCUAUAUGAGGUUGGGCGCUGCCAUUAACAAAGGGCUAUAGAGUAGGAUGUGUUUGAGCGGCAGAAGAGCUUCUGACACUCAGUACAUUCCCCACUCUGAUCUUUUCCGGAGUAACGUUUCAUCUGUCCUUUCUAGGAAGCUGAUCUGGUUCCUGUCCUCCAACUGACCAGCACCUAGAAUGUCAACAAAAUGACUCAUCUGCAACAUCCUGUCCUUUUCUGCAGAAAGAACUGUUUGCUUUUGGAAACUGUAGAGCUUACCUCUGUGGAAAAACCCCAAAGCAUUGUUUCAACACAGGUUUCCUUAAGUUAUGCCUUCUGAUUUCUUCUCCUUGUCUCCUUUUCCUCUUCUUCCUUCUCUCUUUCUCUUUCUCUUUCUUUUCUCUUUCUCUUUCUUUUCUCUUUCUCUUUCUUUUCUCUUAUUUUCGAGGGGGCAGGGUGGGUUGAUAAUUGAAAUCAGGGCCUUCCGUAUUCUUCCUAAGUGUUCUGUGCGAGCUCUAUCCCAGCCCCUCUUGUGACUUGUGUUGGUUCUUUCUGUGUCCACGGGGUAAGCAAGGAGAUUGAGGCUUUAGGAAUGGGAAAAGCUUGGAGAGAGCUAUGGUGCUUCUGGAAACUCAGGUGAGGAGGAGCCGAGAUCUCGUUCAGUGGCAAUCGUGAUGUCUCAGUGACACAUUUUGAGGUCCUGAGUUUUGAUGUCUUUGACUUUAAUGCCGGUGCUUGGGAGGCAGAAGCUGGCAGAUUUCUCUGAGUUCCAGCCAGCCUAGGCUACUGUUUUAGUUACUGGUCUGUUGCUGGGAAGAGACACCGUGACCAUUUAGCUUAUAAAAGAAAGCAUUUAACUGGGGGCUUGCUAUACAGUUUCUGAGGGUUAGUUUAUGAUCAGCACAAUGGGAUGAAUGGCAGCAAGCCGGUAUGGUGCUGUAGUGGUAGCUGAGAGCUCACAGCUGAUUUCCAGGUUGCAGGAAGAAAAAAGUGAGACCAGGCUUUCAAAGCCCAACCCCAAAGAUAUACUUCCUCCCGCAAGACCACACCUCCUAAUCCUAAACAGUCCAACUGGGAACUAAAUAUUCAAAUAAAUAUAUGAAUCUGGGGAAGCCAUUCCCAUUCAAAUCACCAUAGCUACAUAGGGAGCUCUAGAUCUUGUGUUAUAGGGAGACCUGUUUC
rnacentral:lncRNA from 1 species